rnacentral:lncRNA from 1 species
UCAAGCUGAGCAAUAGCUUAGGCGUAUGUAAUUGUUCACAUAUUCAAUUUUUUUUUUUUUCUUUUUUUUUAUUUACAUAGACAUUUGCUUUGCUACUUUACUAACAUACUUUUCCAUCUCUUUGUAUAAUCGGUUUUCGUACUUUCUUUUUUUUUUUUUUUUUACUUAUUACCAAAAUUACAUGCGCAGUAUACCUUUUGACGUUACAAAAAAUGUAUGCGAAAAAAUUAUAUGACGAAAACAAUGAGAAUGACGAAACUAAUCAGAUAAUCACAGAGAAUUAUAAAAAUAUUUUACAUAACAAAAAAAAGGAUUUAGGUUUGUUAACUGCUGAUAUGUUUGGCAAAAAAGAAACAAAACCAAUGACAACACAUGGAACAGGUAAUAUUGUCGAAAACAAUACUAGAUCUACGGUUUCUGGUGAAAGAGUUCUUACAAAUGAAGAAGAGGGGGAAGAAGAAGAAGAAGAAGAAGAAGAGGAGGGGGAUGAUGAAAGUUAUAAAAUAGAUGAGGACGACGUAGAGGAUGAUAGUGAUGAUAAUGAUGAAUAUGACGAUGAAUAUGAUGAUGAACUGAGUCUAAUAAAUUUCAAUUCUUAUAAUAAUUAUUAUUAUGAAAAUGUUAAGGACGAACAUGCCGUUAGUGUUAAUAAUGAUGAACAAAAUGAUUGUAACAAUAACAAUAGUAUUUUAAAAAAACAAAAUAAUAUAUUAUUAGACAGGACAGAGAUAAACGAAAAAAGUCAAGCAACUAAUAAUAUGAUAAAUUUAUUGAAAAGUAAACAACAUGUAAAUGAUGAUAUGAUAUAUCGUAAUAAAUUUAUGCAACAAAAUAAAAAAAUGCAUGAAACGCAUAGUGAUGAAGGCGACUAUGAUAUCGACUUAUUAAAAAACUACAAAUUAAGAAAAGAACAAAGUAAAACUUCACAACAAAAAGAAGGUUGUCUACAAAACGAAACUUAUAAUACAACUGCUAUUAGUGAAGUAGAUGCAAAAUCAUGUUAUAGUUACAAAAGUGAAA